CUCAUGUUUUCUUUUUUUGAACGCUUGUGCUGUUUUUCCUUCUCUCUUGUUUCCACAUUCUCCACUUUUCCAAAUGUUGCAGUUCGAGUUUCAUGUAAAUUAGGGCGGGAUUUAGCGUCACCAUUGGUCCACUACAGCUCCUCCUCUAGCCAAUCAAUCCAAGAGGGGAGUUGACGUCCUUCCAUAAUUUAUUUAUUUAUUUAUUUAGAUUUAAAGCCUAUAUUUUUAAUUAGACGUGUUAUUUAGAAUUCAUUCCUCGGCCAUUAAACUUGUAUCCAUGGUAACGCCAUAAAUCCCAUAGAGCACAAUUUUACGUCGCGUGGAGCGUUCACGGUAAAAGGUUCGCGCGCCCCAGAGACGGUAAACUCCGAAAUCUACGUAAAGAGGAAGCGCUCUGGCUCUUUCCAAAAAUGGCGGCCACCAUAGAGAACAGCAGUGCUGCAGCUGCGAAUAAGAAAAAACAUUUAGGAAUUCCUGAAGCAGUGUUUGUAGAGGAUGUGGAUUCCUUUAUGAAGAAGCCCGGCAACGACACGGCAGACGUCGUACUGAGGAAACUUGAUGAACAGUACCAGAAAUAUCAAUACAUGGAAGUCAACCUGGUUCAGAAAAAAAUGAGGUUUGGAGAAAUGUAAUCCUGUCUUGUGAAGUGUUGCUCAAUGGUGGAAGGGUCACUUUGUUAAAAAUGAAAAUUGCAUUAAAUUUCCAUAACUCAGCAGACUGGUGCCAGGGUUAGGCUAGUUUGGCCGCCUGUUAUUGGAGGAUUGUCUUGGUUAUAGAGAUGCACCGAUAUUAAAUUUCUCAGCCGAUAAUAAACUAUAUAACGGACAGUUGUAGAACAUGAAUGAUGAGAAAUGUUUCUGAACACUAGAAGUACUUUGAACAAGAGAACUAGUAAUAAUGUGGACUGUUUUACAUGUAAAUACAAGUACAUCGCAUAUGUAUGAUGUAAAUUGGGACGAAGGGCGCAUCUCAUUAUCCAUGACAUUGUUGAAGCUCCGGCUCUCAGACACUCACUGAACUGAGCAGACGCGGAGAGAGGUGUGAGUGCAGCGGGAAAGCAAGACCUCACUCUUGCAGGAGAGUACUGGCGAUAUUUGGAAAAUUGCUAAGGUUUGUCCAAAAAGUCACUAGAUUUGUUGCUAGGUGCUUUUUUUUGGUAGUUGUUUGUUUUUUGGGGGGUUUUUUGAAGGAAAAAUAAAAGUCACUAAAGGGGUCUGAAAAGUCGCUAAGUUGGCAACAUUGGUCUGCACUGACCGCUAGAUUAAAGGCAGCUAAGCUCCGCCUCUUCCCAUCAGAAAAUGCAGAGGGAGUGGGAAUGUGGGUUUUUCAUUUAUUUGAAAAGACAUUCUAUUUGAAAAGCAAUAAAAUUCAGAGUACCCAAA